GGCAGCAUGAUCAACUGACUGACAGUCCAAACUCUUCUUCUUCGGAGUGGAUGUGGCCCUACCUAAUCCUAUAAUAGAUCCGCCCCUAGAUAAAGAUCCUAAGACUGGUAGUGAAAGUUCUUCUAGUCGAUGGAAUUCCCAACUCACUCCCCUAACUACGCCUCAUUGUAGAUCCGAAGGCGUCUGCCAUGGUGGAAAUUCCUAAGCCUUCUAUCUCAUCCUCUUCCUCUAUCAGCACGUGAUUCUCCUGUCGAAGACCUACUAAUCGAUGAUGGUUUUGUUUGUUUUGGUGGAAAAAAGGAACAUUUAUUUUCAGCAACACUUGGCCUCGUAUCAGUUAUUGUAUUUGGUGAGUUUGAAAAGCCUGCACUUACCCAGAUGUUGCCUUAAAUUGUUAGGUUCUGUAAUGUCCUUCGGGGACAUUGAAGUCCUAUGUUCAAAUUAGAAGUAGGCCAGAAGUAUUUUUUUUUGCUGAAGAGUUUUUAACUGAGUACAUAUGUUUGGUGAAGGUGUUUGUCCAUUUGAUUUAUGAGAAAAAAUUCCUAGUCUUGGAUUUUGCUUAUAAUAUGUUGGUUGAAUAUGAUUCAUAGUAAAUUAGUUGAGUUUUUAUUUUAGAAGAUUUUAUUAGUUAUAAAAUUUAAUAUUUUGAGUGAAUUUUAU